rnacentral:tRNA from 1 species
GCCCCCCUAGCUCAAUUGGCAGAGCAUCCGACUUUUAAUCGGCUGGUUGUGGGUUCGAGUCCCACGGGGGGCACC